rnacentral:rRNA from 1 species
AUGAUGUGCCAAAGACGAUCGUCUCGGACCGCGACGUCAAGUUCCUUAGCUACUUUUGGAAUCAAGCUACUCUUCUCCACGACGUAUCAUCUACAAACCGACGACCAAACGGAGGUGACCAACCGCACACUCUCCACUCUACUUCGAUUACUCAUCAAGAAGAACAUCAAGGAGUGGGAGGAGUGUCUACCUAUCGCCGAGUUUGCCUACAAUCGAGCAAAACACUCAACAACCGGCAAGUCCCCCUUCGAGGUCGUCUAUGGAUUCAACCCAUUGUCACCAUUGGACAUUCUUCCUCUACCACUCCAAGAGCGCAUCAAUUUGGACGCAAGUGCACGCGUGACUCAUCUCAAGAAGGUGCAUGAAGAUACAAGACAUACUAUCGAGCGCCAAGUACAACGACUUGCGAUCAAGCUCAACAUCAACAAGCACCCCAUGGUCUUCAACAUUGGUGAUCUCGUGUGGCUACACCUUCACAAUGACCGCUUUCCCCAAGAACGCAAGUCCAAACUUCGACCACGAGCGGAUGGACCCUUCAAGGUGCUUGCACGCUGA